AAAUUUUUUUACACGGCUAAAUUCAAAUUGUGAUCGACGGCCCAAAUUUCAUUGAUACAGGGUUUCUGCGGUGUGACUAUUACUAACUGAUUGUAAUUGAUAUAGAUAUGGGAUGGGGUAUGAAUGAGACGAGGGGGUUUUUGUAAGUUGCUUAACUGAUCGAAGAAUCUUCAACGUAGUCUUUACCCCUUUUUUAUUCUAUUGUGCUCUCUAAGCCAGGAAAGUUGACAUUAAUUCGAAGUGUUCUAGACGUGGUGGAAGUCAAGAGAAGGAUAUUGUGGAUGCCAUUUGGAAGUGCUCGGCAACAGUUGCAACAUGGAAAGGGAGUGGGCUGUGGAAGCUACCAUUGCAGUAGUUCUUUUGACUUUCUUGACUUAGUGAAGGCCUUACUCUCCCCUGCUGAAUAUGAUUUGUUUUCUAUCCUUUCUUGGCAUAUUUGGUUAACUAGAAAUAAAUGGGUUCAUGGAGAGAUGAUUCCAAAGGCUGAAGAUGUUGUUGAAUGGUGCACAAAGUAUGUUGCAGAUUUUUAAAACUCCUCUUUGGAUUCAAACAAAUUGGCCUCCUCUAAUGAUACUCUGAAAUGGACUUUCUCCUGCUGCUAAUGAGGUAAAAAUGCGGCCUCUUUCUCCUCUUGCGGCUGAGUUGACAGCCAUUAGAGCUGAGGUUAAUUUGGCCGUAGAAAAGAAGCUGCCAAAAACUUGCAUUGCGCCGGAUUGUCUAGCUGCGAUUCAGUUGAUCAACUCCAAGUUUAGAGGUUGCCGUAAGGUUGAUGGUCUCCUUCCUUAAGGACAUUGAUUCUCUUUGUUUGUUUUCUGGCAUAAUUAAAUGCUUUGGUCGUAGAGAUGACCUUCUAGCUCACAAUCUCGCUAAGUUUGCUUUGAUUGAUAAAGCAACUUCUUUUAUUUAGAAUGGGGCGGUGCCUUGUUUUAUCGAAGAACGUGAAGCAUUCUAAUGGAGACCAAUCUAUGAUACUUCUUAACUGGUUGUUCCAAGAUGAAUUUAUUUUCCAAGCAAUAGCUAGGAAGCUUGGUAAGAUUAUUGCCACUAAAGAUGAUCAUUUUAUAGCACUUGGGUGGUGUACCCUGGUGCGCGGACUUGUGGAUUAUGAAAGUGCUACUGAUCAGUACUCAAUGAAUGGUAAUACAUUUUUUUCUCUUUAUGUGAUUUAAAUCCAUUUGGGUAUAUUUCAAUAUGAUCUUUAAUGACAGUAUAACCUCAUUAUCUUAGUUUAGUAGCUAAGAAUGUAUUUUAAGCAUGAAGUUUUAGUCCUUUUUUUGCCCUCAAUUUUAUUAUCUUCUUCCUCAAUCUCUAAUGACAGGAAUAAGACAAAUGCAUAUUGAGUUGUUGAAGAUACUUUCCUCAUGUUUUUCACAUAUAUUACAAAUAAUAUCUAAGGGAAGGUAUAAGCUUCUUACUUGGAUCAUCAUCGACCAAGUUGAGAUGGAUCUUCAUUUUGUAAUAGUUGCUUUAAUAAAUGAUCUGCUUUUAGUUUGCUCA